rnacentral:misc_RNA from 1 species
CAAAUUGCUGGCGGAGCGGACGGAGAGUUUGCUGCGAGCGAACCACGAAUUGACGAUGUCGGCGAAAACGUCGGCGAUUGGGGCGAUCACGGCGCAUUUGAUUCAUGAUUUGAAGAGCCCGUUGUUUGGGUUGCAGAGUUUCGUGAGCGCGCGCGG